CACGUAGGGUGCGAGCGUUGUCCGGAAUUAUUGGGCGUAAAGAGCUCGUAGGCGGUGUGUCGCGUCGGCCGUGAAACCUGCAGCUUAACUGUGGGCUUGCGGUCGAUACGGGCAUCACUGGAGUUCGGCAGGGGAGACUGGAAUUCCUGGUGUAGCGGUGAAAUGCGCAGAUAUCAAGGGAGGAACACCCGGUGGGCGAAGGCGGGUCUCUGGGCCG
rnacentral:rRNA from 1 species